rnacentral:rRNA from 1 species
CAGGCUUAACACAUGCAAGUCGAGGGGCAGCAUGGUCUUAGCUUGCUAAGGCCGAUGGCGACCGGCGCACGGGUGAGUAACGCGUAUCCAACCUGCCUUACACUCUUGGACAGCCUUCUGAAAGGGAGAUUAAUACAAGAUGUUAUCAUGAGUAAGCAUUUUCGCAUGAUUAAAGGUUUACCGGUGUAAGAUGGGGAUGCGUUCCAUUAGAUAGUAGGCGGGGUAACGGCCCACCUAGUCUUCGAUGGAUAGGGGUUCUGAGAGGAAGGUCCCCCACAUUGGAACUGAGACACGGUCCAAACUCCUACGGGAGGCAGCAGUGAGGAAUAUUGGUCAAUGGACGAGAGUCUGAACCAGCCAAGUAGCGUGAAGGAUGAAGGUUCUAUGGAUUGUAAACUUCUUUUAUACGGGAAUAAACGGAUCCACGUGUGGAUUUUUGCAUGUACCGUAUGAAUAAGGAUCGGCUAACUCCGUGCCAGCAGCCGCGGUAAUACGGAGGAUCCGAGCGUUAUCCGGAUUUAUUGGGUUUAAAGGGAGCGUAGAUGGGUUGUUAAGUCAGUUGUGAAAGUUUGCGGCUCAACCGUAAAAUUGCAAUUGAUACUGGCAGUCUUGAGUACAGUUGAGGUAGGCGGAAUUCGUGGUGUAGCGGUGAAAUGCUUAGAUAUCACGAAGAACUCCGAUUGCGAAGGCAGCUUACUAACCUGUAACUGACAUUGAUGCUCGAAAGUGUGGGUAUCAAACAGGAUUAGAUACCCUGGUAGUCCACACGGUAAACGAUGAAUACUCGCUGUAGGCGAUAUACAGUCUGCGGCCAAGCGAAAGCAUUAAGUAUUCCACCUGGGGAGUACGCCGGCAACGGUGAAACUCAAAGGAAUUGACGGGGGCCCGCACAAGCGGAGGAACAUGUGGUUUAAUUCGAUGAUACGCGAGGAACCUUACCCGGGCUUAAAUUGCAACCGAAUAUGGCGGAAACGCUAUAGCUAGCAAUAGCGGUUGUGAAGGUGCUGCAUGGUUGUCGUCAGCUCGUGCCGUGAGGUGUCGGCUUAAGUGCCAUAACGAGCGCAACCCUUGCCGAUAGUUACUAACAGGUUAUGCUGAGGACUCUGUCGGGACUGCCAUCGUAAGAUGUGAGGAAGGUGGGGAUGACGUCAAAUCAGCACGGCCCUUACGUCCGGGGCUACACACGUGUUACAAUGGGGGGUACAGAGGGCUGCUACCACGCAAGUGGAUGCCAAUCCCAAAAACCUCUCUCAGUUCGGAUUGAAGUCUGCAACCCGACUUCAUGAAGCUGGAUUCGCUAGUAAUCGCGCAUCAGCCACGGCGCGGUGAAUACGUUCCCGGGCCUUGUACACACCGCCCGUCAAGCCAUGGGAGCCGGGGGUACCUGAAGUGCGUAACCGCAAGGAGCGCCCUAGGGUAAAACUGGUGACUGGGGC